GAUAACCUCCGGAAACUGGGGAUAAUACCCUAUAGGUUACAGAUGCUGGAAUGCUCUGUAACUCAAAGCUCCGGCGCCUUAGGAUGGAUCUGCGGCCGAUUAGGUUGUUGUUGGGGUAACGGCCCAACAAGCCAGUAAUCGGUACGGGUUGUGGGAGCAAGAGCCCGGAGUUGGAUUCUGAGACACGAAUCCAGGCCCUACGGGGCGCAGCAGGCGCGAAAACUUUACAAUGCGGGCAACCGUGAUAAGGGAACCUCGAGUGCCUGUAUAUGCAGGCUGUCCAGGUGUCUAAAGCACACCUGAAGAAAGGGCCGGGCAAGACCGGUGCCAGCCGCCGCGGUAAUACCGGCGGCUCGAGUGGUGGCCACUUUUAUUGGGCUUAAAGCGUUCGUAGCUGGGUUGUUAAGUCUCUUGGGAGAUCCGACGGCUCAACCGUCGGGCGUCUAAGGGAUACUGGCAAUCUUGGAACCGGGAGAGGUGAGGGGUACUUCGGGGGUAGGAGUGAAAUCCUGUAAUCCUCGAGGGACCACCUGUGGCGAAGGCGCCUCACCAGAACGGCUUCGACAGUGAGGGACGAAAGCUGGGGGAGCAAACCGGAUUAGAUACCCGGGUAGUCCCAGCCGUAAGCGAUGCGCGUUAGGUGUAUCGACGACCACGAGUCGUCGAGGUGCCGAAGGGAAACCGUGAAACGUGCCGCCUGGGAAGUACGGUCGCAAGGCUGAAACUUAAAGGAAUUUGGCGGGGGAGCACCACAACAGGUGGAGCCUGCGGUUUUAAUUGGACUCAACGCCGGAAAUCUCACCGGAUAAGACAGCGGAAUGAUUGCCGGGCUGAAGACUCUGCAUGACUAGCUGAAAGGAGGUGCAU
rnacentral:rRNA from 1 species